UGGGGAAUAUUGGACAAUGGGCGCAAGCCUGAUCCAGCAAUGCCGCGUGUGUGAAGAAGGCCUUCGGGUUGUAAAGCACUUUUAUCAGGAGCGAAACGCUGUCGGCUAAUACCCGGCGGAACUGACGGUACCUGAGGAAUAAGCACCGGCUAACUUCGUGCCAGCAGCCGCGGUAAUACGAAGGGUGCAAGCGUUAAUCGGAAUUACUGGGCGCAAAGCGUGCGUAGGCGGUUUCUUAAGUCUGCUGUGAAAUCCCCGGGCUCAACCUGGGAAUGGCAGUGGAUACUGGGAGGCUAGAGUGUGUCAGAGGGUGGUGGAAUUCCCGGUGUAGCGGUGAAAUGCGUAGAGAUCGGGAGGAACAUCAGUGGCGAAGGCGGCCACCUGGGACAACACUGACGCUGAGGCACGAAAGCGUGGGGAGCAAACAGGAUUAGAUACCCUGGUAGUCCACGCCCUAAAACGAUGCGAACUGGAUGUUGGUCUCAACUCGGAGAUCAGUGUCGAAGCUAACGCGUUAAGUUCGCCGCCUGGGGAGUACGGUCGCAAGACUGAAACUCAAAUGAAUUGACGGGGUC
rnacentral:rRNA from 1 species